rnacentral:rRNA from 1 species
GAAGAACGCAGCUAAUUGCGCGUCAACAUGUGAACUGCGGGAUACAUGAACAUUGACAUUUCGAACGCAUAUUGCGGUCCUCGGAUACUGUUCCCGGACCACACCUGGCUGAGGGUCGU